rnacentral:rRNA from 1 species
ACGGGAGGCAGCAGUGAGGAAUAUUGGUCAAUGGGCGAGAGCCUGAACCAGCCAAGUCGCGUGAAGGAUGAAGGUUCUAUGGAUUGUAAACUUCUUUUGUUCGAGGGUAAAGUGAGUCACGUGUGAUUUAUUGUAAGUAUCGAACGAAUAAGCAUCGGCUAACUCCGUGCCAGCAGCCGCGGUAAUACGGAGGAUGCGAGCGUUAUCCGGAUUUAUUGGGUUUAAAGGGUGCGUAGGCGGGAUGUUAAGUCAGCGGUUAAAUAGUGUAGCUCAACUAUACUUUGCCGUUGAAACUGGCGUUCUUGAGUGUAAACGAGGUAGGCGGAAUGUGACGUGUAGCGGUGAAAUGCUUAGAUAUGUCACAGAACCCCGAUUGCGAAGGCAGCUUACCAGGAUACAACUGACGCUGAGGCACGAAAGCGUGGGUAUCAAACAGGAUUAGAUACCCUGGUA